GACGAACGCUGGCGGCGUGCUUAACACAUGCAAGUCGAACGGUGAAGCGCCUUCCUUUUUGGUGGGUGUGGAUGAGUGGCGAACGGGUGAGUAACACGUGAGUAACCUGCCCCCUUCUUCUGGAUAACCGCAUGAAAGUGUGGCUAAUACGGGAUAUUCUGGGUCUGUCGCAUGAUGGGUCUGGGAAAGAUAUUGUUUCGGUGGGGGAUGGGCUCGCGGCCUAUCAGCUUGUUGGUGGGGUGAUGGCCUACCAAGGCGGUGACGGGUGGCCGGCCUGAGAGGGUGGACGGUCACACUGGGAAGGAGACACGGCCCAGACUCCUACGGGAGGCAGCAGUGGGGAAUAUGGCACAAUGGGCGCAAGCCUGAUGCAGCGACGCCGCGUGAGGGAUGGAGGCCUUCGGGUUGUGAACCUCUUUCGCCAGUGAAGCAGGCCUGCCUCGUUUGUGGGUGGGUUGACGGUAGCUGGAUAAGAAGCGCCGGCUAACUACGUG
rnacentral:rRNA from 1 species